rnacentral:rRNA from 1 species
GAUGAACGCUGGCGGCGUGCCUAAUACAUGCAAGUCGAGCGAACAGACGAGGAGCUUGCUCCUCUGACGUUAGCGGCGGACGGGUGAGUAACACGUGGAUAACCUACCUAUAAGACUGGGAUAACUUCGGGAAACCGGAGCUAAUACCGGAUAAUAUAUUGAACCGCAUGGUUCAAUAGUGAAAGACGGUUUUGCUGUCACUUAUAGAUGGAUCCGCGCCGCAUUAGCUAGUUGGUAAGGUAACAGCUUACCAAGGCAACGAUGCGUAGCCGACCUGAGAGGGUGAUCGGCCACACUGGAACUGAGACACGGUCCAGCCUCCUACGGGAGGCAGCAGUAGGGAAUCUUCCGCAAUGGGCGAAAGCCUGACGGAGCAACGCCGCGUGAGUGAUGAAGGUCUUCGGAUCGUAAAACUCUGUUAUUAGGGAAGAACAAAUGUGUAAGUAACUAUGCACGUCUUGACGGUACCUAAUCAGAAAGCCACGGCUAACUACGUG